GCACGUAGUUAGCCGGGGCUUCUUCUGGAGGUACCGUCACCCUCUGGGCUAUUAACCCGAGUGGCUUCGUCCCUCCUGAAAGCGGUUUACAACCCGAAGGCCUUCUUCCCGCACGCGGCGUCGCUGCGUCAGGCUUUCGCCCAUUGCGCAAGAUUCCCUACUGCUGCCUCCCGUAGGAGUCUGGGCCGUGUCUCAGUCCCAGUGUGGCUGAUCGUCCUCUCAGACCAGCUACGGAUCGUCGCCUUGGUGAGCCGUUACCCCACCAACAAGCUAAUCCGCCGCGAGCUCCUCCUCGGCCGGAGGCCGAAGCUACCUUUUCUCACGAGCCCGAAAGCUCGAGAGGCCAUCCGGUAUUAAUCCGGGUUUCCCCGGGCUAUCCCGGUGCCGAGGGCAGAUUACUCACGUGCUACUCACCCGUUCGCCGCUGUCCCCAGAGCCGAAGCUCUGGUUCUCGCUCGACUUGCAUGUAUUAAGCGCGCCGCCAGCGUUCGUC
rnacentral:rRNA from 1 species